UCGAGAAUCUUCCGCAAUGCGCGCAAGCGUGACGGAGCGACGCCGCGUGGACGAUGAAGGCCUUCGGGUUGUAAAGUCCUGUCAGUUACUAGGAAUGACAGGUGGUGAAUAGCUAUCCUGUUUGACUAUGUAGCAAAGGAAGCACCGGCUAAAUACGUGCCAGCAGCCGCGGUAACACGUAUGGUGCAAACGUUGUUCGGAAUCACUGGGCCUAAAGAGCGCGUAGGCGGCUUGGUAAGUUAGGUGUGAAAUCCCUCGGCUCAACCGGGGAACUGCACCUAAUACUGCCUGGCUAGAGUGCAGGAGGGGAGAGUGGAAUUCCUGGUGGAGCGGUGAAAUGCGUAGAUAUCAGGAGGAACGCCGGUGGCGAAAGCGACUCUCUGGCCUGCUACUGACGCUGAGGCGCGAAAGCUAGGGGAGCAAACGGGAUUAGAUACCCCGGUAGUCC
rnacentral:rRNA from 1 species